rnacentral:rRNA from 1 species
AGAAAGGAGCGGACUGUUGCUGGUCUUUCGGUGACGCUGGAUAACGGCCGAACCGACUGACAUUGUGCACGUUUGUGACUUUUUCGAUCAAUAAAUUCUCCAACACACCUGUGCACUUGUUGUAGGCUUUCGAAAGAAAGCCUAUGUUUUCACACACACCUAAUGUAUGUCCAUAGAAUGUCUUUUACAAUUAUUGAGCGCUUCUUCGAGAAGAUGGUCAGUAAAUAAAACUAUACAACUUUCAGCAACGGAUCUCUUGGCUCUCGCAUCGAUGAAGAACGCAGCGAAUUGCGAUAUGUAAUGUGAAUUGCAGAUUUUCAGUGAAUCAUCGAAUCUUUGAACGCACCUUGCGCUCCUUGGUAUUCCGAGGAGCAUGCCUGUUUGAGUGUCAUUAAAUUCUCAACUCCNUUUGAUUUNGUUAUCGAANGRRGCUUGGAUAGUGGGUUUGCUGGCGUCACCGUCGGCUUUCCUUAAAUGCAUUGGCAAAGGCGAUGGCACGAUAACGUCUUUCGGUGUGAUAAUGAUCGCCGUGGAUGGAAGUGUCCUAGUUCACCUAUGCCUAUAACCCGUGUCGUUUGUUGCUUCGUUGCGACGAACACUUGUACACAACUUGAACCUUUUGACCUCAAAUCAGGUAGGAUUACCCGCUGAACUUAAGCAUAUCA